ACACUUACCUGGCAGGGGAGAUAGUAUGAUCAUGAAAGUGGUUUUUCCAGAGCGAGGCUUAUCCAUUGCACUCCGGAUGUGUUGACCUCUGCGAUUUCCCCAACUGUGGGAAACUCGACUGCGUAAUUUGUGGUAGUGGGGGACUGCGUUCGCGCUUUCCCCUG
ensembl:snRNA RNVU1-17 RNA, variant U1 small nuclear 17